CGCACAUUGCGCCCUCUGGCAUUCCGGAGGGCACACCUGUUCGAGCGUCAUUAUCAACCCUCAAGCCCCGGCUUGGUGUUGGAGGCCCGGCCGCUGGUCACAGUGGCCGCUCCCAAAGACAAUGACGGCGCCUGGAGGCCCCCGGUACAUUGAGCUUUCUCUAAAGCACGUACUGCGGUCGCGUCCCCGGGCGUUCUGUCUGUUACCUAUUUUUUAUAUGGUUGACCUCGGAUCAGGUGGGGAUACCCGCUGAACUUAA
rnacentral:misc_RNA from 1 species